GUCCACGCCGUAAACGAUGAUCACUAGGUGUUGGGAGUCAAAUCUCAGCGCCCAAGCUAACGCGAUAAGUGAUCCGCCUGGGAGUACGUACGCAAGUAUGAAACUCAAAGGAAUUGACGGGGACCCGCACAAGCGGUGGAGCAUGUGGUUUAAUUCGACGCAACGCGAGGAACCUUACCAGCGUUUGACAUCCUAAAGAGUCGACAGAGAUGUUGAUGUGCCCUUUCGGGGGAAUUUAGUGACAGGUGGUGCAUGGCUGUCGU
rnacentral:rRNA from 1 species